rnacentral:ncRNA from 2 species
CUCAUUCACAAGGAGUGCUUUAUGCUGAGACCGCCCUGGCGGAAUCCUUACCACCUGAUCUCGUUAAUACGAGCGUAGGGAUGUGAUGCCUAGGGGCU